rnacentral:sRNA from 1 species
AUGUACCGCUCGUACACUGCGGUUCCUGCGCGCCGGCAGCACUCACCUCACGACGGCGCGCUACGUGUUGCUAGCC